CCUUACCUUCUUAUUGGGUCUCACCUGGUCUGUGGCUUUUCUCGCUUGGGGUCCUGUUAAAGUGUUCCUCCUCUACCUGUUCUCCAUACUGAACAGUCUUCAAGGUUUCUUUAUUUUUGUGUUCCAUUGUCUCAUGAAGGAAAACGUACGCAAGCAAUGGAGAAUACAUUUAUGUUGUGGAGCUUUCAAGCUGCAGGAAUACUCUGAAUGGAGCCAAACUGCAACUGUGGUUCCCAAACACAAACCCAAUCCACCAAAUAUGUUUCCUUUCAUGGCAUCUGUGAGAUCCAUCAAGUCUAAUUCAACUCAGAGCUCAACGGUUUCCUUAGAGUCCAGUCAACAUCAAAUGACUAUCACAAGACCCGACCUUGGAUUUGUAUAUGAAAACAGUUUGGUAAUACCAAGAGCCAGAACAGGAUAGAUGGUUCUUCCAUAUGAUACAUCUCCUGCCACAGCAAGUGGGCUUGAGUUUCCUUCAAGGCCAUGGAAGAAUGGAUUUGACACAGAUAUCUACCCAACAUAACUUGACUGUUUUUGUUUGUUGCUCUGUACUGAAGCACACAUUUUUCUGGUAACUUUCCAUUUUAAAAUGCCACUCUUAAAAAAUGAGUGAAUAAACAUGUAGAAAACUGAUUCCUCAGAUCAUAUUACAUUAUACCCUAACAUUGUUUCAUGAAAUAAUAGUAUAAUCAAGAAAAGGUAUGUUGAACCUUAAACAAAAAUGAUAUAAAUCUGACUUGAUUGGGAGUUACUAUACUAGUAGCCUAUGCACCUAUUCCUG
rnacentral:lncRNA from 1 species